UGUCUUUAAUAUUCUUCUUCUUUUUUUUUUUGCUUUGUCUGUGUCUCCCAUUACAGGUGGCCUGGAUUCGGAGGUUGAAGAGAGGGGAAAGUCUCUGUCUGUGGGCCAGAGGCAGCUGCUGUGUCUUGCCCGUGCCCUUCUUACAGAGUCUAAUAUUUCAUACAUUGAAGCGUCGACCAUAAGACUGACUUGCUUCUGCAGAAAACUAUCAGAGAAAAAUUAAAAGAUAGAUCUGUUCCAACCAGUGCUCCACAGACUGAAUACAAUUAUGGACUCAGAGUGCUGGUGAUGCAUGCUGGGAAGGUGGUGGAGUUUGACAGCCCUGCUGCUCUGAGCCAAAAAGAAGAGUCUGUUUUCCAGAAACUCUUAUAGUCAU